GGCCUGGUAAACAGUGGGCCAGGGUCCUGCACCCAAAGGAAUCGGGGCCCCAUGUCCUCAAUGUCCACAUCCUCUCUGAGCAGCUUCCACCUUGGCCAGAGGCAAGGCUACUGUGAACAUGCUGGGGCGAACAUCAGAAAAGGGACAUGGACACUGUGUCACUUCAGUCCUGCCAUUCGCCUCAUUGUAACUCCUGGCCCAGGCGUCCAUGUGGCCCUGGUCAGAUGCCAGGAAGCGUGGGCUACAGGACCUCCUAUGAGAGGCAGUAAACACAGCCAUUCAGCCUCACAUGGAUAAGGAAGCUCGACCUGACCCCCUCGUGGGCCAUUUCAACAGAAACCUGGGGAACAUUCUCUGUGACCUCAUAAAUGGAUCUGGAGUCCUAGGAUGAGCCUCUGUUUACUCAUCUCUAUCCUGGGAGGGGUCUCAGGACUCGUGCGUUGUUGUUUUUUAUACACAGAGGUACAUACAUCCUCUCCUCCGCUAAGAGGCUGGCCUGAAAAUGCUAGUAGUUUUAGGUGUCCCUCCUGAAAUUUCACUUUUAAUAUGAGGAUCACUUUCUGCUGGGCCCGCCUGUGGCCCGCCCAGUCCGAGCCACUGUGGACAGUUCAGUUGGAUGAAAGCUCAAUCCUCAAACCCUGCUGCUGAGCCAUGGGUGGGACCCCAAUUCCAUGUCUCCCCACUGUCCCCUCACGGAUUGGAAAUCAGGCAGUCAAGAGGCUGGCAGAGGUCCGCCCAGUGAGGAUGGUGCAGCCAGGCACGCUGUACACCCUGACGACGCCCGUGGAGCAGGCCUUCCUGAGCAGCUGCCCCAGCAACGGGCUCUAUUUCCUGGACAGCACAAGGGGCUACGUUUCCUCCCCACAGGAGGGGAUGGUGGGAAGCUGGAACUUUGUCAAGCAGCCUUGGAGGUCGGUUGGGCUUCGCCAAUGGAAGAGUAGUUGAGUACGUCACUCCAGGAAUAUACAUGAAGACACUACGUGCAGACAAUUUUCCAGGCACUGGCCAUGAUCCAAUAACCAGAGCAGAUGCAACCACUGUCCUCUCAGCUGCAGAGCUAGCUCCAGCCCAAGCUGAAACCCCACCUGCAGAGCCUCUGCCAGCUCCACCUGCAGCUCCCUCCCCAGCUCUGGAACCACAGCCAGAGCCAGCAUCAGAAAGCCCUUCUCCACCAGCUGCACAGCUGGGGCUCCUGCUGGCUCCUCAGCAGGUGUCAGCUCCUGAGCUCCCCCUCGGACCAGAUCCUGCCCCACCCCUGCCAUUCCCCUCAUUACUGUUGGUCAUGUUUUGGCAUUUAUUUUUGUUUUUUUGUUUUUGUCUUUGUGGGGUUUUCUGGCAUACAUUUUUGUUCUUAUUUUCCCAAUGUAUGCAAUUAUAGUUUUUUUAAAACAAAAGUUAAGAUUUUAGCCUUGUUUAAAACAAUCGGCUGGGUGGCAUGUAGUGCCUUCUCAGUAUUGAGCACCCAUCACUGCUGCACCCGUGAGUGGCUCCUCCCCUCUCCCCUGUGGUUAGUCCCUGGCUACUACUCAUCUUAUGUCCCUGUCAUUUACCUAUUCUACUCUUGUUACAGUGGUGCCAUCAGAUUUCUCCUUGGCCACAUAAUCCUGGAAGGGACUGAUGACUCUUGCUUUAUGUAGAAGGGAAAAUCCUGGAUAGAUCCUAAACAUUUUUCAUCCACCUAUUCAGUAAAUUAUGCAGUUAUUUUUGUCAGACAAGAAAUAUUUUUUAACUACUGCAACAUGAAUAAAGAAUAAAAGAAAGACAUAGUCACAGUCAUUCCACCGGGAACCGUGCACACCCCUGAGGUGCUCCCCUCUCCUGUGCGCAUCUUUGGGCUCAGGCUGUGUGUCUUCGCUGCUCGUGGGGUGUGUGUCAGGCCACAUCUCUUGUCAUCUCAUGGACACACUGGGGACAUGGCCCUGGCAGGCUCCAUCCCUU
rnacentral:lncRNA from 1 species